rnacentral:rRNA from 1 species
CCCUUAGAUGUUCUGGGCCGCACGCGUGCUACACUGAUGCAUUCAACGAGUCUAAAACCUGGUCUGAUAGGGCUGGGUAAUCUUUUGAAAGUGCAUCGUGAUUGGGAUAGAUGAUUGCAAUUCUUCAUCUUCAACGAGGAAUGCCUAGUAAACGCAAGUCAUCAGCUUGCUUUGAUUACGUCCCUGCCCUUUGUACACACCGCCCGUCGCACCUACCGAUUGAAUGGUCCGGUGAAAUCUUCGGAUUGAGACUUUGAUUUCUUCACGGAAAACGCUGUUUUAAAAAGUUGAUUAAACCUUACCAUUUAGAGGAAGGUGAAGUCGUAACA